UAGUGGCGAACGGGUGAGUAACACGUCGAGUAACCUGCCCUUGACUCUGGGAUAAGCCUGGGAAACUGGGUCUAAUACUGGAUAUGCACCGCGAACCGCAUGGUUUUUGGCGUAAAGAUUUAUUGGUCAAGGAUGGACUCGCGGCCUAUCAGCUUGUUGGUGAGGUAAUGGCUCACCAAGGCGACGACGGGUAGCCGGCCUGAGAGGGUGACCGGCCACACUGGGACUGAGACACGGCCCAGACUCCUACGGGAGGCAGCAGUGGGGAAUAUUGCACAAUGGGCGAAAGCCUGAUGCAUCGACGCCGCGUGAGGGAUGACGGCCUUCGGGUUGUAAACCUCUUUCAGUAGGGAAGAAGCCAAAGUGACGGUACCUGCAGAAGAAGCGCCGGCUAACUACGUGCACCAGCCGCGGAAAUACGUAGAGCGCAUGCGUUAUCCGGAAUUAUUGGGCGUAAAGAGCUCGUAGGCGGUUUGUCGCGUCUAUCGUGAAAGUCCGAGGCUCAACCUCGGAUCUGCGGUGGGUACGGGCAGACUAGAGUGAUGUAGGGGAGACUGGAAUUCCUGGUGUAGCGGUGAAA
rnacentral:rRNA from 1 species